rnacentral:tRNA from 1 species
GGGGUUGGGGAUUUAGCUCAGUGGUAGAGCGCUUGCCUAGGAAGCGCAAGGCCCUGGGUUCGAUCCCCAGCUCCA